GAGAUCUUCAGGUUUACCCUGAUGAGCCCGAGAAUUUUAUUCUAGAUAGGUCAAAAAGGGAGAGAGUAAGAAGUAUUAUGAUACUUUUGAUAUGAUUUUAGUCUGCAAGGGCCUAUCACUAGGUGUAGGGCACAGGAGCAGAACACACCAAUGACACUUAUUUGCCUUGUAGCGUACUUUUUAUCAUCGUGUUUUUCUUAACGAUUCGGCCUUUUGCAUGUGCUAAGUUUUGUUCCUUCUUUGGCCACCAGAAAUCUUGAUUCUUGGCUGUGGGAGAUAUAUUGAACCACUGGAUCCUGCACUUCGGCGCUUCAUUCGCUCAACUGGAAUGAAGCUGGAAGUACUUGACUCGAGGAAUGCUGCGUCAACUUACAAUAUACUGAAUGAAGAAGGUCGAAUUGUGGCCGCCGCCCUUCUCCCAUAUGGGGUUUCUUCCUGAUAAAUUGAUUAACGACGACAGAUGUUCCCCCCAGAUUAGCAAGCAUUGAUGAGCUUUCUAAGUGACGCCAACUUGUUUCAUGCACUCAUAGCCUACCAUAUUGGACAGGAAUUGAAUCAACUUUUUUGUACACUGUUGAACAAGGUAUGAUCCCAUUUUUAUAUAUAGGCUUAUAAGGACAUGAAUAAAGUGAUGUUCCUUGAAACGUCACUGGAUGUGAAAAAUGUGGUUUUAGCACAGAAGAAUAGUUAGGUAAUCUUGGUUCAAGCAUUGGCAUUAGAACGAAAAAGAACUGGGACUGGUUUUUAGAAAACAUAUUCUGGUAUAAUAUAUGUUCUUUUUCUUUCUUGUUAUGGCA